rnacentral:rRNA from 1 species
AGGUGUUGGUGGUAUCAACCCCGCCAGUGCCGAAGCUAACGCAUUAAGUGUCCCGCCUGGGGAGUACGGCCGCAAGGCUAAAACUCAAAGGAAUUGACGGGGGCCCGCACAAGCAGCGGAGCGUGGGGUUUAAUUCGACGCAACGCGAAGAACCUUACCAGGGCUUGACAUGACCAGGAUCCCGGCGGAAACGUCGGUUCCCCGCAAGGGGCCUGGCCACAGGUGUUGCAUGGCUGUCGU